UACAGAGGUCUCAAGCGUUUGUUCGGAUUCAUUGGGCGUAAAGGGUGCGUAGGCGGCGCGGUAAGUCGGGUGUGAAAUCUCGGGGCUUAACUCCGAAACUGCAUUCGAUACUGCCGUGCUUGAGGACUGGAGAGGAGACUGGAAUUUACGGUGUAGCGGUGAAAUGCGUAGAUAUCGUAAGGAAGACCGUGGCGAAGGCGGG
rnacentral:rRNA from 1 species